rnacentral:lncRNA from 1 species
AAGCUGCCAAGAGGAAGCCUUUCCUCUGACUCACUUCCAGGGGUUACCUGCAGGCAUAGGAGGACUCUGGUUUCCUAAGUGCAUUCACAUGUGCGGUGUGGUUCAGCCUCCCAACAACCUGCUGGAUAGAUGAGCCAGGAAUGUUGCCUUCUUUUAUCGAUGAAAAUGCCCAGACUCUGAGGAAGGAAGUCCCCAGAGCACAUAUGCGAUAAAGGCAUUUCAAGUUACAUUGUGAAACUGCGAUAAGAGAAGGACAAUCAAGUGCUGCUGGUUAUUGAAACGUGGGAGCGGGUACUUCCAGCCCAAACCUGGUAAAGAAAGAGCUUGUUGGAGCAGCCUGGAUAAUCCCUGGAUUCCUUGCUUUUCCAGCAACAGGCAUGAUAUAAAUUUAAAGCAGCAGUCAGUUUGCUUGAUCGGAAUAUGGUGGCUGCCCAAGGGUCAUCAGCCAGCACAGAUACUCCUGCCAACAGGAACAUGGCCAUGUGGUGAAGCUCAAAAGACAUCCAGCUGGGUUGUAAAUCAGCAGUGCUCUGACCUUUUAGAUGCUGACUCAUUACAGCAGAGUGGAAGACCUAAGCCUCCCCAACCUAUGCAUUCCUGCUUUCCAGAGCAAAAGACUUCUGUGAAGACCAAGAAUUGGAAUAGGCACAGUAACAAUAAAAUCUCUAAAAAUGCAUCAGUCAACCAACAUAAUGAACAACAAAAGCAAGUUCCAACACUUUUCUCAACUCUAUUAAUUAAUGCAAUAAGAGCAACAAUCCAAACCAACUUAAGACAGUGCUGACACUGUAUGGAGAAACUGACCUGUGAUCACAGAAAAUAGGGAUAAUAGCACCAACCUCUCAAGAUGGCUAUAAAGGUCGAUGAAAACACAUGCAAAGCACAGAUAUCAAUUUUGGAUCAGAGUAAGUGUUUAACAAGUGUUUGUUCAUUCAUGAGUGAUAGAACCUGAACUAAGUCUUCUAAUUCAGAAGCAAAUACUCUGUCAGGCUGCCAGGAGUCCCAAGUAUAUAGGAGAUUCAUAAUAAAACAGUGAUAAUCUUGAGAGCCUGAUACUGGGCCCAAAGAUCUUGUCCACUCACAGACAUCCUGGUCAGAUAGGAAUGGAUCUCAGGUCCAGGAUGUGACUCCAUCCAGUAAAGUUAAAGUCAUUUGCUA